GGUUAUCUGGAGGCAGUGAGUUAUCUCAACUGAUUGUUCAGUCAAUUACAGAUUCAACUCCUCCUUCUAUUCUUUCCCUACUUCUCAAUACUGUACUUAACUAGUCCUUA
rnacentral:Y_RNA from 1 species